GGAAUCAGCCUAGGAGUGCAAACGCAUAAGGGAGCUUGACUGCAAGACUGACGGGUCGAGCAGGCACGAAAGUGGGAGUUAGUGAUCCGGCGGUUCCGUAUGGAAGGACCGUCGCUCAACGGAUAAAAGCUACCCCGGGGAUAACAGGCUGAUACUUCCCAAGAGUCCAUAUCGACGGAAGUGUUUGGCACCUCGAUGUCGGCUCGUCUCAUCCUGGGGCUGGAGAAGGUCCCAAGGGUUGGGCUGUUCGCCCAUUAAAGAGGCACGCGAGCUGGGUUCAGAACGUCGUGAGACAGUUCGGUCCCUAUCCACUGCAGGCGCCUGAAUACUGAAAAGAUCUGACCUUAGUACGAGAGGACCGGGUUGGACAGACCUCUGAUGUACCAGUUGUCACGCCAGUGGCACGGCUGGGUAGUCACGUCUGGGACGGAUAACCGCUGAAAGCAUCUAAGCGGGAAGCCGGCUUUGAGAUGAGUGUUCGCAGUAUCCAUGGAGAACACAUGGUUGAUAGGCCAGAGGUGUAAGUGCAGCAAUGCAUUCAGCUGACUGGUACUAAUAUUACAUCUGCUUUUAAGUU
rnacentral:ncRNA from 1 species